CUGACUAUAGUGAAACAUUAAAAAGGAAUCUUCCUCACAAAACUUGGACCAGCCCCAAACUAUGUGUGACUGGAGCCAUAGGUGAUUACUGGGGA